rnacentral:rRNA from 1 species
AGUGAACGCUGGCGGCGUGCUUAACACAUGCAAGUCGAACGAGAACGGAAUAUAGCUUGCUAUAUUUGUCAGCUAAGUGGCGCACGGGUGAGUAAUGUAUAGAUAACCUGCCCUUAAGAAAGGAAUAACAGUUGGAAACGACUGCUAAUGCCCUAUAUGCCUUUAAUACAUAAGUAUGCAAGGGAAACGCUUUAGUGCUUAAGGAUGGGUCUGUAUGGUAUCAGCUUGUUGGUGAGGUAAUGGCUCACCAAGGCUAUGACGCCUAACUGGUUUGAGAGGAUGAUCAGUCACACUGGAACUGAAACACGGUCCAGACUCCUACGGGAGGCAGCAGUGGGGAAUAUUGCACAAUGGACGAAAGUCUGAUGCAGCAACGCCGCGUGGAGGAUGACACAUUUCGGUGCGUAAACUCCUUUUAUAUAGGAAGAUAAUGACGGUACUAUAUGAAUAAGCACCGGCUAACUCCGUGCCAGCCGCCGCGGUAA